rnacentral:rRNA from 1 species
GAAUUACUGGGCGUAAAGCGUGCGCAGGCGGUUAUGUAAGACAGAUGUGAAAUCCCCGGGCUCAACCUGGGAACUGCAUGUGUGACUGCAUAGNCUGGAGUACGGCAGAGGGGGAUGGAAUUCCGCGUGUAGCAGUGAAAUGCGUAAAUAUGCGGAGGAACACCGAUGGCGAAGGCAAUCCCCUGGGCCUGUACUGACGCUCAUGCACGAAAGCGUGGGGAGCAAACAGGAUUAGAUACCCUGGUAGUCCACGCCCUAAACGAUGUCAACUGGUUGUCGGGUCUUCACUGACUCAGUAACGAAGCUAACGCGUGAAGU